rnacentral:rRNA from 1 species
AAGUAUAUGUGUUUUCGGAACGCAGAAACUGCGAACGGCUCAUUACAACAGUUAUGAUCUACUUGACAUUUCCCCUUUUAUAUAAGGAUACCUGCGGAAAAGCUGCAGCUACUACUUGCUCGAUACAACUAUUCUAUUUUCGGAUAGGAUAGUUGUGGUACUUGUUCGUUCUGCAAGAAAAAGGAGAAGACGGGAGUGAGAACAAAGAAGCGACACGUAUAAGGGUUUUGUAUACCUUUAUGAAGUGCGGAUCAAUCGAGUUUCUGACCUAUCAGCUUUGGAUGUUAGGGUAUUGGCCUAGCAUGGCGAUGACGGGUAACGGGGAAUUGGAGUUCGAUUCCGGAGAGGGAGCCUGAGAAAUCGCUACCACAUCUAAGGAAGGCAGCAGGCGCGUAAAUUACCCAAUUCUGACAAAGAGAGGUAGUGACAAGAAAUAUCGAUGCAAGGUCCAUUACUGGACUUUGCAAUUGGAAUGGUGGGAAUCUACACCCUUCCCAGAGAAGCCAUUGGAGGGCAAGUCUGGUGCCAGCAGCCGCGGUAAUUCCAGCUCCAAUAGCGUAUAUUAACAUUGUUGCAGUUAAAACGCUCGUAGUUGACUUUCAAGGGUGUGGUUUUCGGGGGUGCCACAGCUUCCUUCGGGAGUUGUUUCGGGACUCCUUUGCGAUACACUCUUUUAAGGAGAGGGAUGUGUGUCUCUUUCGGGGGGUGCAUGUUCUCUCCUUGUUACUUUGAGUAAAUUAGAGUGUUCCACGCAGGCACUUUGGUAGGGGCAACCCGCUUGAAUACUCCAGCAUGGAAUAACGUCAUUGAGGAAGCCGAUAGGGGUUUUUCCAUUUUUCUUGGAUCGGCUUUUACCCCUUUAUACGAUUAAUAGGAGUAGCUUGGGGGCCUUCGUAUUCAGAUGUUAGAGGUGAAAUUCUUAGAUUUUCUGGAGACGAACUACUGCGAACGCAUUGGCCUAACAUACUUCCAUUAAUCAAGAACGAAAGUUAAGGGAUUGAAGACGAUCAGAUACCGUCGUAAUCUUAACCAUAAACUAUGCCGACUGGGCGUCGGGCGGGUCUUUUAAAGGUGUUGGAAUAUAAUUCUUGAUUCUUCUUUCGGGUGGGUCAAGUGUGUAUUUCUCACCGUACGAACUCCCUCGGUACCCUGAGAGAAAUCAAAGUCUUUGGGUUCUGGGGCGAGUAUUCGCGCAAGCGAGAAAGUUAAAAGAAUUGACGGAAGGGCACCACCAGGCGUGGAGCUUGCGGCUUAAUUUGACUCAACACGGGGAACCUCACUAGUUUACGACAAGAGUAGGAUUGACAAUUGUAGAUUUUGUAUCUGAUUGAAGCUCUUUCUUGAUUUCUUGGUGGGUGAUGCAUGGCCGUUUUUAGUUCGUGAAAUGAUUUGUCUGGUUAAUUCCGAUAACGAACGAGAUCUCAUCCUGCUCAUUAGCAGCGGGUGCAUGAUGUGUCAGCGGCGGUUGUUUGGGUGCACGCUCUGCAGAACGGGAUGUGGAACAGGGACUGCCCCUUGGAUAGUGCCUUCGGGUCUUCCAAGGAGUGCACUCCUUUGUUUCCAUUGCGGGUAUGCUUUGCAACGCUCCAGGAAUCGUUCGUUGGGACGCACCCUGCUUGCUUCUUAGAGGGACUGGGGGUGUAGAAUCCCAGGAAGCUCGAGGCCACAACAGGUCUGUGAUGUCCUUAGAUGAACUAGGCUGCACGCGUGCUACACUGAUGCGUGUAGCGAGCCAUUAAGGUGUGGUACGAAAAAAACAAUAUGUAUUUUCGGAUAUGUGUUGUUUUUUUUUGUGCCCACCUUCCUACUCCGAGAGGAGUGGGGAAUCUGGAGUACGCAUCGUGAUGGGGAUAGACGAUUGCAAUUAUUCGUCUUGAACGAGGAAUGCCUAGUAAGCAUGAUUCAUCAGAUUGUGCUGACUACGUCCCUGCCCUUUGUACACACCGCCCGUCGCUCCUACCGAUUGAAAGAUAUGAUGAAUUGUUUGGACUGCGCUGCGGGCGUUGAUACGUGCGCGGUGUGGGAAGAACCGUAAAUCCUAUCUUUUAAAGGAAG